rnacentral:rRNA from 1 species
AGGACGAACGCUGGCGGCGUGCUUAACACAUGCAAGUCGAGCGACAGUGCCUUUCGGGGUACAUGGAGCGGCGAACGGGUGAGUAACACGUGGGCAACCUGCCCUCAGCUCUGGGACAACUCCGGGAAACCGGGGCUAAUACCGGAUACGACCUUGGGAGACAUCUUCUGGGGUGGAAAGUUUUUCGGCUGAGGAUGGGCCCGCGGCCUAUCAGCUUGUUGGUGGGUAAUGGCCUACCAAGGCGACGACGGGUAGCCGGCCUGAGAGGGCGACCGGCCACGACUGGGACUGAGACACGGCCCAGACUCCUACGGGAGGCAGCAGUGGGAAUAGUUGCGCAAUGGGCAAAGCCUGACGCAGCGACGCCGCGUGAGGGAUGGAAGGCCUUCGGGUGUAAACCUCUUCAGCGAGGGACGAAGCGAAAGUGACGGUACCUGCGAGAAGAAGCAACCGGCAACGUACGUCGACCAGUCCGAGCCG